CGUGCGUUCAAUCAACCAUGCAGCGGUCUUUGUCGCGCGCCGAUGGCACGCCGUUUCGAUGGCCGAGUCGUCGGGCAGGUCGUACAGACCCACGUCGUCGAGUGCCCGCAGGAGCGUAACAUUGUCCUCUUCGAUAAGAGACUCAAGGUUCCAUUCACGCUCGUGGGGGUUGUCUGCAAUGCACGACCAUUGGACCGACCACGGACGAUCCACACGUCCGCAAAACACGGCGGCAAUGUGGCGCGCCACAUCGGCCCGCAAGUCGCCUAUCUCAAAGAUGGGGAUGUUGGGUGCGUGAUGGAGCAGUCGAUCAAACAUGUCGACGUCGAUGAUCCCAAGCGGCAGCCAGGCGUGCGACAGCGACGCCGAGUAUUUUGGCCACGCCUGGCAAACACGGUCCAAUAUCCACACUUGUCCCGACCGGAGCGCAAACUCGAUCGCAAGUACCGUCAUACCAGGUUCGGCUCCCUCCUUGGCGAUUUGUAUGGCGUGAUCGACAAUGGCCGGAUCGAGCGAGAGCAUCAUCAUGCCGCACCGAUCGACAGGCGCCAUGUCGCCACCAAUGGCGGCAAAGGCCCGCUCGUAAUCUUGCACGGUGAGGCCGCUGGUGCGGCUAGUGCCGCAAGCCGUUGCGUCGAUUGCGCGCAGCCUAUAGCACUCGACAAAGACGGACGCGGCAAGGAUACGCCCUCGUGACCACGGUAGCAUGGUCUCGAUUCUAUAUAUGGGCCUGUACGUGAGACGGCCCAUGGUUGGUUUUUUCCAACUGCGGUCCGUGGGCGCUGCCUGAUCGAUCAAGUCGCGCCACUGCCGGCACACGCGCCGUGCCAUGCAUCGGUACGCCGGAUCGAGGCCGAUGACAGGAUCGGCAAGUAUGAUGCUCCACAAUUCAGGGUCGACGUAGACGACGCGCUCGGGCAUCUUUUCGCACGCAAUCUCUGACAUCUUUUUUUCGUCUUGCCGGCGUGGGUCGCUCGGUUACUCGCGCGCUCUCGCUCUCUUUGUGCUUGCAAAUACACACUCGUCGCUUCCUUCCC
rnacentral:lncRNA from 1 species